UACGGAGGGUGCGAGCGUUGUCCGGAAUCAUUGGGCGUAAAGGGCGCGUAGGUGGCCCGGUCAGUUCGUGGUGAAAGCGCGGGGCUCAACCCUGCGUCGGCCAUGAAUACUGCCGCGGCUGGAGCACUGUAGAGGCAGGCGGAAUUCCGGGUGUAGCGGUGGAAUGCGUAGAGAUCCGGAAGAACACCGGUGGCGAAGGCGGCCUGCUGGGCAGUUGCUGGACACUGAGGCGCGACAGCGUGGGGAGCAA
rnacentral:rRNA from 1 species